CCCAUGUGCAGAUGCAAACCGUAGUCUGGCUUUUUUUAUGGCGGUUUUGGAGCAGUGGCUUCUUACUUGCUGAGCGGCCUUUCAGGUUAUGUCGAUAUAGGACUCGUUUUUACUGUGGAUAUAGAUGCUUUUGUACCUGUUUCCUCCAGCAUCUUCACAAGGUCCUUUGCUGUUGUUCUGGGAUUGAUUUGGACUUUUCGCACCAAAAGUACGUUAAUCUUUUUCUGAGGUCUUGUCUGAUUUCUUUUGAUUUUCCCAUGAUGUCAAGCAAAGAGGCACUAAGUUUGAAGGGCUUUUCACGCUACUGAGCCAAGCUGAGGCGAGUCCAACCAAACCAAACCAAGUUGUUCUGAGCUGGCCUGUUUACACAUCCACCAUAGCUGCUUGCACCGUGCUGGAAAGGACCAUGUGAAAAGGAAAUAUCUGAGCCAGCAUGCGAUACAGCCACCUACUUUACCUUAGGUGGAAAAUGAAUGCUAAAACCAUGAACAGCCUAAAUUCAUCAGGGCAUGGACUCUACAAGAUGUGGCUGGCCCAUGUUGACUCCAAUGCUUCCC
ensembl:lncRNA